rnacentral:sRNA from 1 species
UUUUAAACCCUACAGCAGUGAAAAUCCUUUUUGUUUACAGCAACCUUGAAUAAGUUGAUAUGAUCUCAAAAAGAUUGUAGCAAAUGGCGGGAACAAAC